rnacentral:rRNA from 1 species
GGUCACGGUGGGCCAGGGGUGGGGGUAAUAGGGAGGGGGCGAGGGUUAAUCGGAAUGACUGGGCUGAAGGCGUGCGUGGGCGGAUGGGUCAGUCAGCCGGGAAAGCCCCGGGCUCAACCGGGGAACGGCGGUGGAGACGGCCCGUCUCGAGUGGGCUAGAGGAUCGUGGAAUUCCGGGUGUAGCGGUGAAAUGCGUAGAGAUCCGGAGGAACACCGAUGGCGAAGGCAGCGAUCUGGGGCCACACUGACGCUGAGGCACGAAAGCGUGGGGAGCAAACAGGAUUAGAUACCCGGGUAGUC